UACGUAGGGAGCAAGCGUUAUCCGGAUUUACUGGGUGUAAAGGGCGUGUAGGCGGGACUGCAAGUCAGAUGUGAAAACUAUGGGCUCAACUCAUAGCCUGCAUUUGAAACUGUAGUUCUUGAGUGCUGGAGAGGCAAAUGGAACUCCUAGUGUAGCGGUGAAAUGCGUAGAUAUUAGGAAGAACACCAGUGGCGAAGGCGAUUUGCUGGACAGUAACUGACGCUGAGGCGCGAAAGUGUGGGGAGCAAACAGG
rnacentral:rRNA from 2 species